rnacentral:rRNA from 1 species
GGAGGGUGCAAGCGUUAUCCGGAUUUAUUGGGUUUAAAGGGUCCGCAGGCGGACUAAUAAGUCAGUGGUGAAAUCUCUCGGCUCAACCGAGAAACUGCCAUUGAUACUGUUAGUCUAGAGUGUAGUUGGCGUAGGCGGAAUGUAUCAUGUAGCGGUGAAAUGCUUAGAUAUGAUACAGAACACCGAUCACGAAGGCAGCUUACGAAACUACAACUGACGCUCAGGGACGAAAGCGUGGGGAGCGAACAGGAUUAGAUACCCUGGUAGUCCACGCCGUAAACGAUGAUUACUCGUUGUCGGCAAUAUACAGUCGGUGGCUAAGCGAAAGCGAUAAGUAAUCCACCUGGGGAGUACGAUCGCAAGGUUGAAACUCAAAGGAAUUGACGGGGGCCCGCACAAGCGGAGGAGCAUGUGGUUUAAUUCGAUGAUACGCGAGGAACCUUACCUGGGCUUAAAUGCUUAAUGACUUACUGGGAAACCGGUAUUUCUUCGGACAUUUUGCAAGGUGCUGCAUGGUUGUCGUCAGCUCGUGCCGUGAGGUGUCGGGUUAAGUCCCAUAACGAGCGCAACCCCUAUUGUUAGUUGCCAUCAGGUAAUGCUGGGGACUCUAACAAAACUGCCCGCGUAAGCGUGGAGGAAGGUGGGGAUGACGUCAAAUCAGCACGGCCCUUACGUCCAGGGCUACACACGUGCUACAAUGGCCGAUACAGAGGGCAGCCACUUGGUGACAAGGAGCAAAUCUCAAAAGUCGGUCUCAGUUCGGAUCGGAGUCUGCAACUCGACUCCGUGAAGUUGGAUUCGCUAGUAAUCGUAGAUCAGCAACGCUACGGUGAAUACGUUCCCCGGCCUU